UACGGAGGGUGCAAGCGUUGUCCGGAUUUAUUGGGUUUAAAGGGUGCGUAGGCGGUCUUUUAAGUCAGUGGUGAAAGCCUCCAGCUUAACUGGAGAAAUGCCAUUGAUACCGGGAGACUUGAGUACAGACGAGGUAGGCGGAAUUGACAGUGUAGCGGUGAAAUGCAUAGAUAUUGUCAAGAACACCGAUUGCGAAGGCAGCUUACUAGACUGUAACUGACGCUGAGGCACGAAAGUGUGGGGAUCAAACAGG
rnacentral:rRNA from 1 species